CACUGGGCCGGGGUGGGAGCCGGAUGGGGAGACCCAGGCCAGAGGAGGCUACGGGAGCCCAUUGGAAGACCUUUGACAGCCUAGGGAGGGAAGCAAGGUGAAGAGACCGAGACCCAAAGAAGGGGGUGAUUUAUCCAAAGCCAAAGAGCUGGGACUGAGGAGUCUGGCUCCAGAGUCUCUGUCCCUAAGAUGCAAUACCAGGAGCAGUACAACCAUUUUGCGAACCACAAGAAAAAGCCAAGAGAAUUGCAGCGACACUGGCCCGACC